GUGCACGGCCGUUCUUAGUUGGUGGAGCAAUUUGUCUGGUUAAUUCCGAUAACGAACGAGACUCUGGCAUGCUAACUAGUUACGCAACCCCCGAGCGGUCGGCGUCAUGAUUAAAAUCUAGGCUCAGAGAGAACGCACUAUCAAACCUAGCUUCAUGCUAUUCCCCAAAGUAAACCAAGAGAUGGAAAAGUAUUUCUACUCUGGUCGACAACGGUGUAUGUAC
rnacentral:ncRNA from 1 species